rnacentral:rRNA from 1 species
GACGAACGCUGGCGGCAUGCCUAACACAUGCAAGUCGAACGGAACUUUGAGAAUGAAGUUUUCGGAUGGAUUUUUUAAAGUUUAGUGGCGGACGGGUGAGUAACGCGUGAGCAACCUGCCUUUCAGAGGGGGACAACAGUUGGAAACGACUGCUAAUACCGCAUAAUGUAUCGAGAUCGCAUGACCUUGAUACCAAAGAUUAUAUCGCUGAAAGAUGGGCUCGCGUACGAUUAGAUAGUUGGUGAGGUAACGGCUCACCAAGUCGACGAUCGUUAGCCGGACUGAGAGGUUGAACGGCCACAUUGGGACUGAGACACGGCCCAGACUCCUACGGGAGGCAGCAGUGAGGAAUAUUGGGCAAUGGGCGCAAGCCUGACCCAGCAAUGCCGCGUGAAGGAAGACGGUUUUCGGAUUGUAAACUUCUUUUAAGAGGGACGAUAAUGACGGUACCUCUUGAAUAAGCCACGGCUAACUACGUGCCAGCCGCCGCCGUAAAAC